rnacentral:rRNA from 1 species
CCUACGGGGGACAGCAGUGAGGAAUAUUGGUCAAUGGGCGAGAGCCUGAACCAGCCAAGUCGCGUGAAGGAUGACGGCCCUACGGGUUGUAAACUUCUUUUGUCAGGGAGCAAUUUGGUCCACGCGUGGGCUUAGCGAGAGUACCUGAAGAAAAAGCAUCGGCUAACUCCGUGCCAGCAGCCGCGGUAAUACGGAGGAUGGGAGGUUUAUCCGGAUUUAUGGGGUUAAAGGGGUGCGUAGGCGGAAUAUCAAGUCAGCGGUAAAAAUUCGGGGCUCAACCCCGUCGUGCCGUUGAAACUGAUGUUCUUGAGUGGGCGAGAAGUAUGCGGAAUGCGUGGUGUAGCGGUGAAAUGCAUAAAUAUCACGCAGAACUCCGAUUGCGAAGGCAGCAUACCGGCGCCCAACUGACGCUGAAGCACGAAAGCGUGGGUAUCGAACAGGAUUAGAUACCCGGGUAGUC